rnacentral:rRNA from 1 species
CGUAGCGAAAGUUACGCUAAUACCGCAUACGAUCUAAGGAUUGAAAGCGGGGGGAUCGCAAGACCUCGCGCGAUUGGAGCCGGCCGAUAUCAGAUUAGGUAGUUGUGAGGUAAAGGCUCACCAAGCCAACGAUCUGUAGCUGGUCUGAGAGGACGACCAGCCACACUGGAACUGAGACACGGUCCAGACUCCUACGGGAGGCAGCAGUGGGGAAUUUGGACAAUGGACGCAAGUCUGAUCCAGCCAUUCCGCGUGCAGGAUGAAGGCCCUCGGGUUGUAAACUGCUUUUGUACGGAACGAAAAGGUUUCUAUUAAUACUAGGAGCUCAUGACGGUACCGUAAGAAUAAGCACCGGCUAACUACGUG